rnacentral:rRNA from 1 species
GAUGAACGCUGGCGGCGUGCCUAAUACAUGCAAGUCGAGCGAACGGACGAGAAGCUUGCUUCUCUGAUGUUAGCGGCGGACGGGUGAGUAACACGUGGAUAACCUACCUAUAAGACUGGGAUAACUUCGGGAAACCGGAGCUAAUACCGGAUAAUAUUUUGAACCGCAUGGUUCAAAAGUGAAAGACGGUCUUGCUGUCACUUAUAGAUGGAUCCGCGCUGCAUUAGCUAGUUGGUAAGGUAACGGCUUACCAAGGCAACGAUGCAUAGCCGACCUGAGAGGGUGAUCGGCCACACUGGAACUGAGACACGGUCCAGACUCCUACGGGAGGCAGCAGUAGGGAAUCUUCCGCAAUGGGCGAAAGCCUGACGGAGCAACGCCGCGUGAGUGAUGAAGGUCUUCGGAUCGUAAAACUCUGUUAUUAGGGAAGAACAUAUGUGUAAGUAACUGUGCACAUCUUGACGGUACCUAAUCAGAAAGCCACGGCUAACUACGUGCCAGCAGCCGCGGUAAUACGUAGGUGGCAAGCGUUAUCCGGAAUUUAUGGGCGUAAAGCGCGCGUAGGCGGUUUUUUAAGUCUGAUGUGAAAGCCCACGGCUCAACCGUGGAGGGUCAUUGGAAACUGGAAAACUUGAGUGCAGAAGAGGAAAGUGGAAUUCCAUGUGUAGCGGUGAAAUGCGCAGAGAUAUGGAGGAACACCAGUGGCGAAGGCGACUUUCUGGUCUGUAACUGACGCUGAUGUGCGAAAGCGUGGGGACCAAACAGGAUUAGAUACCCUGGUAGUCCACGCCGUAAACGAUGAGUGCUAAGUGUUAGGGGGUUUCCGCCCCUUAGUGCUGCAGCUAACGCAUUAAGCACUCCGCCUGGGGAGUACGACCGCAAGGUUGAAACUCAAAGGAAUUGACGGGGACCCGCACAAGCGGUGGAGCAUGUGGUUUAAUUCGAAGCAACGCGAAGAACCUUACCAAAUCUUGACAUCCUUUGACAACUCUAGAGAUAGAGCUUUCCCCUUCGGGGGACAAAGUGACAGGUGGUGUAUGGUUGUCGUCAGCUCGUGUCGUGAGAUGUUGGGUUAAGUCCCGCAACGAGCGCAACCCUUAAGCUUAGUUGCCAUCAUUAAGUUGGGCACUCUAAGUUGACUGCCGGUGACAAACCGGAGGAAGGUGGGGAUGACGUCAAAUCAUCAUGCCCCUUAUGAUUUGGGCUACACACGUGCUACAAUGGACAAUACAAAGGGCAGCGAAACCGCGAGGUCAAGCAAAUCCCAUAAAGUUGUUCUCAGUUCGGAUUGUAGUCUGCAACUCGACUACAUGAAGCUGGAAUCGCUAGUAAUCGUAGAUCAGCAUGCUACGGUGAAUACGUUCCCGGGUCU